GAUGAAGAACGUAGCGAAAUGCGAUAAGUAAUGUGAAUUGCAGAAUUCAGUGAAUCAUCGAAUCUUUGAACGCACAUUGCGCCCGUCAGUAUUCUGGCGGGCAUGCCUGUUCGAGCGUCAUUACGCCCCUCAAGUCCCCUGUGGACUUGGUGUUGGGGAUCGGCGAGGCUGGUUUUCCAGCACAGCCGUCCCUUAAAUUAAUUGGCGGUCUCGCCGUGGCCCUCCUCUGCGCAGUAGUAAAACACUCGCAACAGGAGCCCGGCGCGGUCCACUGCCGUAAAACCCCCCAACUUUUUAUAGUUGACUCGAAUCAGGUAGGACUACCCGCUGAACUUAAGCAUAUCAAUAAGCGGAGGA
rnacentral:misc_RNA from 1 species